rnacentral:rRNA from 1 species
GGGGAAUAUUGCACAAUGGGGGAAACCCUGAUGCAGCGACGCCGCGUGGAGGAAGAAGGUCUUCGGAUUGUAAACUCCUGUUGUUGAGGAAGAUAAUGACGGUACUCAACAAGGAAGUGACGGCUAACUACGUGCCAGCAGCCGCGGUAAAACGUAGGUCACAAGCGUUGUCCGGAAUUACUGGGUGUAAAGGGAGCGCAGGCGGGAAGACAAGUUGGAAGUGAAAUCUAUGGGCUCAACCCAUAAACUGCUUUCAAAACUGUUUUUCUUGAGUAGUGCAGAGGUAGGCGGAAUUCCCGGUGUAGCGGUGGAAUGCGUAGAUAUCGGGAGGAACACCAGUGGCGAAGGCGGCCUACUGGGCACCAACUGACGCUGAGGCUCGAAAGUGUGGGUAGCAAACAGGAUUAGAUACCCUGGUAGUCCACACCGUAAACGAUGAUUACUAGGUGUUGGAGGAUUGACCCCUUCAGUGCCGCAGUUAACACAAUAAGUAAUCCACCUGGGGAGUACGACCGCAAGGUUGAAACUCAAAGGAAUUGACGGGGGCCCGCACAAGCAGUGGAGUAUGUGGUUUAAUUCGACGCAACGCGAAGAACCUUACCAAGUCUUGACAUCCCUUGACGAACAUAGAAAUAUGUUUUCUCUUCGGAGCAAGGAGACAGGUGGUGCAUGGUUGUCGUCAGCUCGUGUCGUGAGAUGUUGGGUUAAGUCCCGCAACGAGCGCAACCCUUACUGUCAGUUACUACGCAAGAGGACUCUGGCCAGACUGCCGUUGACAAAACGGAGGAAGGUGGGGAUGACGUCAAAUCAUCAUGCCCUUUAUGACUUGGGCUACACACGUACUACAAUGGCGUUAAACAAAGAGAAGCAAGACCGCGAGGUGGAGCAAAACUCAGAAACAACGUCCCAGUUCGGACUGCAGGCUGCAACUCGCCUGCACGAAGUCGGAAUUGCUAGUAAUCGUGGAUCAGCAUGCCACGGUGAAUACGUUCCCG